rnacentral:lncRNA from 1 species
CCAGCGGUAAGCGGGGUCCCAUUCGCCCCGGCCGCCCGUCCCCGUGUUCGCCACGUAGGCAGCCACGUGUUUCCGCGCUUCUAGGAACAGGGCUCCUGUGUCCUCGCGGCUUCCCCGCCACAGAUCCCCGCGCCGCCGGCCUCGGGUCGCCCUUGCCUGGAGCCAGUGAGCCACCCCCGCCUCCCGCUGGCUGGUGUCCCGCUUGGCAGAGGCCGGGGAGUGGUGCCCCAGACCCAAGAGCAGAGGAGACUGAGGCCCAGAGCGGUUACAUGACACUAAGUGACACAGGUUGGACUGACCCUCUUGCAGGCUUACUGUAGCCUCCUCUCCUCCCCCUGCACCAGGCACCAUGCCAUCCCAGGACAGCCAGGAGCACAACUGGACCGUCUCUGAGCACCGUUGCAGCUCUGAAUGAGGAGAGGCAGGGUCAGCAUCCAGUGGCAUCAUCAUCAACACAGCAUGGCCAGGCCAGGAGGUGAGACAGUAGUUUAGGUUCAGUCUUCUGACUGUGGACUGUGUGACUUUAGGCAAGUUCUUUUACCUCUUCGUAACUAGCAGUCACUCCAGACCUUGCAGGUUCACUGAGUUUGCUCAAAUGGUGGUACAGUGACUGUGGGGCUUACUGCAGGACAUGCACAGGGCCAUGGGCACUGGAUGAGCAAGGUUCCUAUCCGCCUGUGGCCUCACCCUGAGCAUGGUUGCAAACCAAUGAGCCUUUCUCCAGGCGCUUAUUGGGAACUGGAUGAAUGUCAUUGUGGAUAUAGAGAUCAUAAUGGACACCAUUCGUGAAG